AUUGAACGCUGGCGGCAGGCCUAACACAUGCAAGUCGAGCGGAGCGGCGGACGGGUGAGGAAUGCCUAGGAAUCUGCAUGGGAGUGGGGGAUAACGUUCGGAAACGGGCGCUAAUACCGCAUACUAUCAGAUGAGCCGAGGUCGGAUUAGCUAGUUGGUGGGGUAACGGCCUACCAAGGCGACGAUCCGUAACUGGUCUGAGAGGAUGAUCAGUCACCCUGGAACUGAGACACGGUCCAGACUCCUACGGGAGGCAGCAGUGGUGAAUAUUGGACAAUGGGCGAAAGCCUGAUCCAGCCAUGCCGCGUGUGUGAAGAAGGUCUUCGGAUUGUAAAGCACUUUAAGUUGGGAGGCGUUACCAGCAGAAUAAGCACCGGCUAACUUCGUGCCAGCAGCCGCGGUAAUAC
rnacentral:rRNA from 1 species